GUGGAAUGCUUAAUGCGUUACGUGCGGCACCGAGGUUCGACCCCCGACACCUAGCAUUCAUCGUUUACGGCGUGGACUACCAAGGUAUCUAAUCCUGUUCGCUCCCCACGCUUUCGUGCCUCAGCGUCAGUUACAGUCCAGAAAGUCGCCUUCGCCACUGGUGUUCCUCCUAAUAUCUACGCAUUUCACCGCUACACUAGGAAUUCCACUUUCCUCUCCUGCACUCUAGCAAAGCAGUUUCAAAUGCAGUCCCGAGGUUGAGCCUCGGGCUUUCACAUCUGACUUACUUCGCCGCCUACGCACCCUUUACACCCAGUAAAUCCGGAUAACGCUUGCCCCCUACGUAUUACCGCGGCUGCUGGCACGUAGUUAGCCGGGGCUUCUUAGUCAGGUACUGUCACUAUCUUCCCUGCUGAUAGAAGUUUACGAUCCGAAAACCUUCUUCCUUCACGCGGCGUCGCUGCAUCAGGGUUUCCCCCAUUGUGCAAUAUUCCCCACUGCUGCCUCCCGUAGAGUUUGGGCCGUGUCUCAGUCCCAAUGUGGCCGAUCACCCUCUCAGGUCGGCUACUGAUCGUUGCCUAGGUAAGCCGUUACCUUACCUACUAGCUAAUCAGACGCGGGUCCAUCCUAUGCUACCGGAGUUUUUACUACUGAGUCAUGUGACUCUGUAGUCUUAU
rnacentral:rRNA from 1 species